rnacentral:rRNA from 1 species
AGAGUUUGAUCCUGGCUCAGGAUGAACGCUGGCGGCGUGCCUAACACAUGCAAGUCGAGCGAUUCUCUUCGGAGAAGAGCGGCGGACGGGUGAGUAACGCGUGGGUAACCUGCCCUGUACACACGGAUAACAUACCGAAAGGUAUGCUAAUACGAGAUAAUAUGCUUUUAUCGCAUGGUAGAAGUAUCAAAGCUUUUGCGGUACAGGAUGGACCCGCGUCUGAUUAGCUAGUUGGUAAGGUAACGGCUUACCAAGGCGACGAUCAGUAGCCGACCUGAGAGGGUGAUCAGCCACAUUGGAACUGAGACACGGUCCAAACUCCUACGGGAGGCAGCAGUGGGGAAGAUUGCACAAUGGGCGAAAGCCUGAUGCAGCAACGCCGCGUGAGCGAUGAAGGCCUUCGGGUCGUAAAGCUCUGUCCUCAAGGAAGAUAAUGACGGUACUUGAGGAGGAAGCCCCGGCUAACUACGUG